rnacentral:tRNA from 1 species
GGGCCCGUAUUAUAGUGGCAGAAUUUUUCCUUCGCAAGGAAGAGGCCCGAGUUCGAUUCUCGGCGGGUCCA